UACGUAGGGUGCGAGCGUUAAUCGGAAUUACUGGGCGUAAAGCGUGCGCAGGCGGUUUUGUAAGCCAGGUGGUGAAAUCCCCGGGCUCAACCUGGGAAUGGCAUUUGGGACUGCAAGGCUGGAGUGCGGCAGAGGAGACUGGAAUUCCUGGUGUAGCAGUGAAAUGCGUAGAUAUCAGGAGGAACACCGAUGGCGAAGGCAGGUCUCUGGGCUGACACUGACGCCCAUGCACGAAAGCGUGGGGAGCAAACAGG
rnacentral:rRNA from 1 species